AUUGAACGCUGGCGGCAGGCCUAACACAUGAAAGUCGAACGAGUGGCGGACGGGUGAGUAAUGUCUGGGAAACUGCCUGAUGGAGGGGGAUAACUACUGGUAACGGUCGCUCAUACCGAAUCCCAUCAGUUGUGCCCAGAGGGGAUUGCCUGGUGGGUGGGGUAAGGGCUCACCAAGGAGACGACCCCUCGCGGGUAUGAGAGGAUGACCAGCCACACUGGAACUGAGCCACGGUCCAGACUCCUGCGGGAGGCAGCAGUGGGUAAGAUUGCACAAUGGGCGCAAGCCUGAUGCAGCCAUGCCGCGUGUAUGAAGAAGGCAGUCGGGUUGUAAAGUACGUUCAGCGGGGAGGCGUUACCCGCAGAAGAAGCACCGGCUAACUCCGUGCCAGCAGCCGCGGUAAUUC
rnacentral:rRNA from 1 species